UACGAAGGGGGCUAGCGUUGCUCGGAAUGACUGGGCGUAAAGGGCGCGUAGGCGGAGUGCUUUGUCGGGCGUGAAAUUCCAGGGCUCAACCUUGGGGCUGCGUUCGAGACGGGCAUUCUAGAGUGGAGAAGAGGGUCGUGGAAUUCCCAGUGUAGAGGUGAAAUUCGUAGAUAUUGGGAAGAACACCGGUGGCGAAGGCGGCGACCUGGUCUUUUACUGACGCUGAGGCGCGAAAGCGUGGGGAGCAAAACAGGAUU
rnacentral:rRNA from 1 species